AUGGGCAGCUCCGUGGACAUCGCCGACGUCACUGCCAGCGUCACCUCUGUCUUGGCCGUCCCCGACGACAAGCCAGCGUUCCAGCCGCUCGACCCCGAGGACGUCCGCGCCUACCUCCACAAGGCCGUCGACUUCGUCUCCGACUACUACGCCAACGUUGAGUCCAUGCCCGUCCUCCCGGACGUCAAGCCAGGCUACCUGCAGGGCGAACUUAUGUCGUCUCCACCCACCUAUUCCACGCCGUUCGACGUCACCAUGAAGGAGCUCGGGGCCUCUGUAGUCCCUGGCAUGACGCACUGGGCCAGCCCAAACUUCUUCGCGUUCUUCCCUGCCACCAACAGCGCCGCCGCCAUCGCUGGCGACCUCAUCGCCUCUGCCCUGAACACCGUCGGUUUCACGUGGCAGGCCGCCCCCGCGGCAACCGAGAUGGAGGUUCUUGCUCUCGAUUGGCUUGCGCAACUCCUUCGCCUGCCCGCCACAUUCAUGAACCGCACCAGCACUGGCAGUCGUGGCACCGGCGGUGGUAUCAUCCUCGGUACCACCAGCGAGGCUAUGCUGGUCACGCUCGUCGCCGCUCGUGACGCCGCGCUGCGUCGGAGUGGCUCUAUAGGCGUCUCCGGCUUGCCACGCCUGGCAGUAUACGCCGCCGACCAAACCCACUCCACCUUCUUCAAGGCAUGCCGCCUCGCUGGGUUUGAUCCCGCCAACAUCCGCUCCAUCCCUACAACGGCAGAGAACCACUACGAGCUCGACCCGGCCAAGCUAUUCGAGUCAAUGCAGGCUGACGUUGAUGCUGGCCUCGUGCCGACAUACGUAUGCGCCACGGUGGGUACCACGUCCUCCAACGCUGUCGACCCGGUGGGCGUUGUCGCUGAGGUUGCCGCAUUGUUCGGCGCGUGGGUCCAUGUCGAUGCCGCCUACGCCGGCAGCGCCUGCAUAUGUCCAGAGUUCCGCCACCACCUCAAUGGAGUCGAGCGCGUGGACUCCAUUAGUGUCAGCCCACACAAGUGGCUCCUUACCUGCCUCGACUGCACCUGCCUCUACGUCCGCGACGCUCGCCGCCUGAGUGACUCCAUGGAGACCAACCCAGAGUACCUAAAGAACGAUGCCACCGACUCUGGCGAGGUCACCGAUCUCAAAGAUAUGCAGGUCGGCGUGGGCCGCCGCUUUCGCGGGCUCAAGUUGUGGAUGGUCAUGCGCACCUAUGGCACCGCCAAGCUCCAGGAGCACAUCCGGAGUGAUAUCGCCAUGGCCAAAAUGUUUGAAGGUCUUGUCCGCGCAGACCACCGGUUUGAGAUCGUUGUGCCUAGGAACUUUGCCAUGGUAUGCUUCAGGAUCAAGGCCAGUGGAGCCAUGACCGAGGAGCAUGCUGAUGAGGCCAACCGUGUGCUGAUGAAGAACCUAAAUAAGACCGGUAAGGCAUACAUUGCGCACACAGUGGUUGGUCAUAGGAUCGUGCUCCGGUUUGCGGUGGGGUCAUCGCUGCAGGAGGAGAGGCAUGUGAGGAGUGCUUGGGAGCUCAUCAAGAGCACAACCAACAAGAUGAUGAUGGAAUAA
rnacentral:rRNA from 1 species